rnacentral:misc_RNA from 1 species
CUGAGAAGAAAGAAUAUCCAAUUGAUCCAUCGCUCCCUGAUAUUAAGAACAGCGUCUAUGCAACAGAUGAGUUUCGCAUGUACUCGUUCAAGGUCCGCCCAUGUUCUCGGGCAUAUUCGCAUGACUGGACCGAGUGCCCUUUUGUUCAUCCAGGAGAGAAUGCACGUAGAAGAGACCCACGGAAGUUUCACUACAGUUGUGUGCCCUGCCCUGAUUUUCGUAAAGGGGCUUGCAGGCGUGGUGAUAUGUGUGAGUAUGCUCAUGGGGUUUUUGAGUGCUGGUUACACCCAGCUCAAUACAGAACACGGCUCUGCAAAGACGGCAUUAGUUGCAACAGACGGGUCUGCUUUUUUGCCCAUACACCUGAAGAGCUAAGGCCCUUGUAUGUUUCUACAGGAUCUGCUGUCCCUUCACCCCGCACAUCUGCAUCUGCAGCUAGUGUCAUGGAC